AUUGAACGCUGGCGGCAGGCCUAACACAUGCAAGUCGAGCGGAGCGGCGGACGGGUGAGUAAUGCCUAGGAAUCUGCCUGGUAGUGGGGGAUGACGUCCGGGAACGGGCGCUAAUACAGCAUAAUAUCAGAUGAGCCUAGGUCGGAUUAGCUAGUUGGUGGGGUAAAGGCCUACCAAGGCGACGAACCGUAACUGGUCUGAGAGGAUGAUCAGUCACACUGGAACUGAGACACGGUCCAAAAUCGUACGGGAGGCAGCAGGGGGGAAUAUUGGACAAUGGGCGAAAGCCUGAUCCAGCCAUGCCGCGUGUGGGAAGAAGGUCUUAGGUUUGUAAAGCACUUUAAGUUGGGAGGCGUUACCAACAGAAUAAGCACCGGCUAACUUCGUGCCAGCAGCCGCGGUAAUAC
rnacentral:rRNA from 1 species